CGGCCGCUCGUGGUACGGAUCUACGGAGCGAGCGGCGAAGACAACGCCGGGCGUGGGCGCGAACGCUGCCGGUAGCACCCGGUGUUCUUAGGUCCCCUCGCUAUUGGACGGGACGCGGGAGAGCGCGGCGGGGGCGAGAGGUGGGAGCGGCCAAUGCGAAACUGGCUGGUGCUGCUGUGCCCUUGCGUGCUCGGGGCCGCGCUGCACCUCUGGCACCUCUGGCUCCGUUCCCCUCCGGCCCCCCACAACACGGAGCCCAGCGCUGCAGAUCAAUCAGCCUUAUUUCCUCAGGGGAAAUUUCGUCACUAUGAUGUGGUAGUUGGUGUGUUAUCAGCUCGAAACAACCACGAACUUCGAAAUGUGAUAAGGAACACCUGGCUGAAGGAUUUGCUGCAACAUCCUACAUUAAGUCAACGGUAGGUUUUCUGAAUUAUUCCCUAACCUGGUUCAGGAAUUGAAAAAGAGCAAAAACCCCUUACUUUUAAAAAGUCAGACACUGGGGCUGGAUAGACAGCUUGGUGACUAAGAGUAUUUGCCUGUCUUCCAGGCAGAUCUUCCAGAGGAUCUAAGUUCAAUUCCCAGCACCCACAUGGUGACUUAAAACUGUAACUCUAGGUCCAAGGGGAUCUUACGUCCUUUCUGGCUUCUGUGGACACUGCACACAUGUGGUACACAGACAUACAUGUAGCCAAAACACUUGUAGCUGGGGUUGGAGAUUUAGCUCAGUGAU
rnacentral:lncRNA from 1 species